rnacentral:rRNA from 1 species
GCAAUUAUACAGCGAAACUGCGAAUGGCUCAUUAUAUAAGUUAUCGUUUAUUUGAUAGUACCUUACUACUUGGAUAACCGUGGUAAUUCUAGAGCUAAUACAUGCUAAAAAUCCCGACUUCGGAAGGGAUGUAUUUAUUAGAUUAAAAACCAAUGCCCUCCGGGGCUCACUGGUGAUUCAUGAUAACUCCUCGAAUCGCAUGGCCUUGCGCCGGCGAUGGUUCAUUCAAAUUUCUUCCCUAUCAACUUUCGAUGUUUGGGUAUUGGCCAAACAUGGUUGCAACGGGUAACGGAGGGUUAGGGCUCGACCCCGGAGAAGGAGCCUGAGAAACGGCUACUACAUCCAAGGAAGGCAGCAGGCGCGCAAAUUACCCAAUCCCGACUCGGGGAGGUAGUGACAAUAAAUACUGAUACAGGGCUCUUUUGGGUCUUGUAAUUGGAAUGAGUACAAUUUAAAUCCCUUAACGAGGAACAAUUGGAGGGCAAGUCUGGUGCCAGCAGCCGCGGUAAUUCCAGCUCCAAUAGCGUAUAUUAAAGUUGUUGUGGUUAAAAAGCUCGUAGUUGAACCUUGGGCCUGGCUGGCCGGUCCGCCUCACCGCGUGUACUGGUCCGGCCGGGCCUUUCCCUCUGUGGAACCCCAUGCCCUUCACUGGGUGUGGCGGGGAAACAGGACUUUUACUGUGAAAAAAUUAGAGUGCUCCAGGCAGGCCUAUGCUCGAAUACAUUAGCAUGGAAUAAUAGAAUAGGACGUGUGGUUCUAUUUUGUUGGUUUCUAGGACCGCCGUAAUGAUUAAUAGGGACAGUCGGGGGCAUCAGUAUUCAAUUGUCAGAGGUGAAAUUCUUGGAUUUAUUGAAGACUAACUACUGCGAAAGCAUUUGCCAAGGAUGUUUUCAUUAAUCAGGAACGAAAGUUAGGGGAUCGAAGACGAUCAGAUACCGUCGUAGUCUUAACCAUAAACUAUGCCGACUAGGGAUCGGACGGUGUUAUAUUUUGACCCGUUCGGCACCUUACGAGAAAUCAAAGUGCUUGGGCUCCA